AGUCGAACGGCAGCACGGACUUCGGGUCUGGUGGCGAGUGGCGAACGGGAGUAAUGUAUCGGAACGCCUAGUAGCGGGGGAUAACUACGCGAAAGCGUAGCUAAUACCGCAUACGCCCUUCGGGGGAAAGCAGACUCCGCCUCAGGCACUAUUAGAGCGGCCGAUAUCGGAUUAGCUAGUUGGUGGGGUAACGGCUCACCAAGGCGAUGAUCCGUAGCUGGUUUGAGAGGACGACCAGCCACACUGGGAUCACCAGAGUGACACGGCCCAGACUCCACGGGAGGCAGCAGUGGGGAAUUUUGACAAUGGGGCAACCCCGAUCCAGCCAUCCCGCGUGUGCGAUGAAGCGCCUUCGGGUUUAAAGCACUUUUGGCAGAAAGAAACGGCACGGGAUAAUGGCUCCAACGACGGUACCUGCAGAAUAAGCACCGGCUAAUCACGUGCCAGCAGCCGCGGUAAUACGUAGGGUAAAAGCGUUAAUCUGGACCACUGGGGCGAAGCGUGCGCAGGCGGUUCGGAAAGAAAGAUGUGAAAUCCCAGAGCUUAACUUUGGAACUGCAUUUUUAACUACCGAGCUAGAGUGUCGAGGGAGGUGGAAUUCGCGUGUAGCAGUGAAAUGCGUAGAUAUGCGGAGGAACACCGACGGCGAAGGCAGCCUCCUGGGAUAACACUGACGCUCAUGCACGAAAGCGUGGGGAGCAAACAGGAUUAGAUACCCUGGUAGUCCACGCCCUAAACGAUGUCAACUAGCUGUUGGGGCCUUCGGGCCUUGGCAGCUAACGCGUGAAGUUGACCGCCCGGGGAGUACGGUCGCAAGAUUAAAACUCAAAGGAAUUGACGGGGACCCGCACAAGCGGUGGAUGAUGUGAUUAAUUCGAUGCAACGCGAAAACCUUACCUACCCUUGACAUGUCUGGAAUCCGAAGAGAUCAGAGUGCUCGCAAGAGAACCGGAACACAGGUGCUGCAUGGCUGUCGUCAGCUCGUCGUGAGAUGUUAUUGGGUUGGUCCCGCAAUGAGCGCAACCCUUGUCAUUAGUUACAUGAAAGGGCACUCUAAUGAGACUGCCGGUGACAAACCGGAGGAAGGUGGGGAUGACGUCAAGUCCUCAUGGCCCUUAUGGGUAGGGCUUCACACGUCAUACAAUGGUCGGGACAGAGGGUCGCCAACCCGCGAGGGGGAGCCAAUCCCAGAAACCCGAUCGUAGUCCGGAUCGCAGUCUGCAACUCGACUGCGGAAGUCGGAAUCGCUAGUAAUCGCGGAUCAGCAUGUCGCGGUGAAUACGUUCCCGGGUCUUGUACACACCGCCCGUCACACCAUGGGAGUGGGUUUCAGAAGUAGUUAGCCUAACGUAAGGAGGGCGAUUACCACGGUAGGAUUCAUGACUGGGGUGUCAUCAAGGUAA
rnacentral:rRNA from 1 species